AGGUAGAGCAGGAGAGGACGUCGAAUCGAAUUGUCAAUGAAUGCUCACUCUACAACAAAAUUAAAAUUAAAAAGAAGUUCCACAGCCAGGUGAAGUCUGAGCUUUUGCAGUGCUGUCUAUCAUGCUCGUGGUCUCGUUGCAACCAGCUGGUGAAUGGUGUGGUGAGCUACUUCCAUGCAGUCUGUGGGGCUGACCUUGAUUGCAGGUAACUUUUAUAACACAGAACUUCACUUCAGCCAUCCAAUCCAGUUCUUGCAUCCAAUUGUGUAGACUGCACAGAACUCUCAUUUAUAGCUUUGCUGUGAAUUUCAUCAACAUGUCUAAUAACUGAAGUCCAACAAGGUCUUAUCUUAUUUAGUUUGUUUUAAAAAUUUGACAUGACAAAAAAGAAUUUUAG
rnacentral:lncRNA from 1 species